GAUGAACGCUAGCGGCAGGCUUAAUACAUGCAAGUCGAGGGGUAGCAAGAUUGUAGCAAUACAAUUGUUGACGACCGGCAAACGGGUGCGGAACACGUACACAACCUUCCUACAAGUGGGGAAUAGCCCAGAGAAAUUUGGAUUAAUACCCCGUAACAUAGCGAUGUGGCAUCACAUUGCUAUUAUAGCUUCGGCGCUUGUUGAUGGGUGUGCGGCUGAUUAGAUAGUUGGCGGGGUAACGGCCCACCAAGUCUACGAUCAGUAGCUGAUGUGAGGGCAUGAUCAGCCGAACGGGCACUGAGACACGGGCCCGACUCCUACGGGGGGCAGCAGUAAGGAAUAUUGGACAAUGGACGCAAGUCUGAUCCAGCCAUGCCGCGUGAAGGAUUAAGGUCCUCUGGAUUGUAAACUUCUUUUAUAAGGGACGAAAAAAGGUCUUUCUAGAUCGUCUGACGGUACCUUAUGAAUAAGCACCGGCUAACUCCGUGCCAGCAGCCGCCGUAACAC
rnacentral:rRNA from 1 species